AUGCAAGUCGGAGCGAACAGAUGAGAAGCUUGCUUCUCUGAUGUUAGCGGCGGACGGGUGAGUAACACGUGGGUAACCUACCUAUAAGACUGGGAUAACUCCGGGAAACCGGGGCUAAUACCGGAUAAUAUUUUGAACCGCAUGGUUCAAUAGUGAAAGACGGUUUCUGCUGUCACUUAUAGAUGGACCCGCGCCGUAUUAGCUAGUUGGUAAGGUAACGGCUUACCAAGGCGACGAUACGUAGCCGACCUGAGAGGGUGAUCGGCCACACUGGAACUGAGACACGGUCCAGACUCCUACGGGAGGCAGCAGUAGGGAAUCUUCCGCAAUGGGCGAAAGCCUGACGGAGCAACGCCGCGUGAGUGAUGAAGGUCUUCGGAUCGUAAAACUCUGUUGUUAGGGAAGAACAAAAUUUGUUAGUAACUGAACAAGUCUUGACGGUAUCCUAACCCAGAAAGCCACGGCUAACUACGUGCCAGCAGCCGCGGUAAUACGUAGGUGGCAAAGCGUUUAUCCGGAAUUUAUUGGGGCGUAAAGCGCGCGUAGGCGGUU
rnacentral:rRNA from 1 species